rnacentral:rRNA from 1 species
UAGUGGCGAACGGGUGAGUAACACGUGAGUAACCUGCCCUUGACUCUGGGAUAAGCCUGGGAAACUGGGUCUAAUACUGGAUAUGCACCGUGAACCGCAUGGUUUUUGGUGGAAAGAUUUAUUGGUCAAGGAUGGACUCGCGGCCUAUCAGCUUGUUGGUGAGGUAAUGGCUCACCAAGGCGACGACGGGUAGCCGGCCUGAGAGGGUGACCGGCCACACUGGGACUGAGACACGGCCCAGACUCCUACGGGAGGCAGCAGUGGGGAAUAUUGCACAAUGGGCGAAAGCCUGAUGCAGCGACGCCGCGUGAGGGAUGACGGCCUUCGGGUUGUAAACCUCUUUCAGUAGGGAAGAAGCGAAAGUGACGGUACCUGCAGAAGAAGCGCCGGCUAACUACGUGCCAGCAGCCGCGGUAAUACGUAGGGCGCAAGCGUUAUCCGGAAUUAUUGGGCGUAAAGAGCUCGUAAGCGGUUUGUCGCGUCUAUCGUGAAAGUCCGAGGCUCAACCUCGGAUCUGCGGUGGGUACCGGCAGACUAAAAUGAUGUAGAGGGAGACUGGAAUUCCAGGUGUAGCGGUGAAA